rnacentral:rRNA from 1 species
UGCGUAGGCAGCGAGCGUUGUUCGGAGUUACUGGGCGUAAAGGGUGUGUAGGCGGUUCUUUAAGUUUAGUGUGAAAUCUCCCGGCUCAACCGGGAGGGUGCGCUGAAUACUGAGGGACUAGAGUACGGGAGAGGAAAGUGGAAUUAGCAGUGUAGCAGUGAAAUGCGUAGAUAUUGCUAGGAACACCAAUGGCGAAGGCAGCUUGCUGGGCCACUCCUGACACUGAGGUACGAAAGCGUGGGGAGCGAACAGG